rnacentral:rRNA from 1 species
UGGGGAAUCUUGCACAAUGGGCGAAAGCCUGAUGCAGCGACGCCGCGUGCGGGAUGAAGGCCUUCGGGUUGUAAACCGCUUUCAGCAGGGACGAGGCCGCAAGGUGACGGUACCUGCAGAAGAAGCCCCGGCUAACUACGUGCCAGCAGCCGCGGUAAUACGUAGGGGGCAAGCGUUAUCCGGAUUCAUUGGGCGUAAAGAGCUCGUAGGCGGCCCGUUAGGUCAGGAGUCAAAUUCGGGGGCUCAACCCCCGCGCGCUCCUGAUACCGGCGGGCUUGAGUUUGGUAGGGGAAGGUGGAAUUCCCAGUGUAGCGGUGGAAUGCGCAGAUAUUGGGAAGAACACCGGUGGCGAAGGCGGCCUUCUGGGCCAUAACUGACGCUGAGGAGCGAAAGCUAGGGGAGCGAACAGG